GAUGAACGCUAGCUACAGGCUUAACACAUGCAAGUCGCGGGGCAGCAUGGGGGUUGCUUGCAAUCCCUGAUGGCGACCGGCGCACGGGUGAGUAACGCGUAUCCAACCUGCCCUUCACCACGGGAUAACCCGGCGAAAGUCGGACUAAUACCGUAUGUUGUCCAUUGACGGCAUCCGAUUUGGACGAAAGGCUUUGCGGUGAGGGAUGGGGAUGCGUCCGAUUAGCUUGACGGCGGGGUAACGGCCCACCGUGGCGACGAUCGGUAGGGGUUCUGAGAGGAAGGUCCCCCACACUGGAACUGAGACACGGUCCAGACUCCUACGGGAGGCAGCAGUGAGGAAUAUUGGUCAAUGGGCGGAAGCCUGAACCAGCCAAGUAGCGUGCAGGAUGACGGCCCUAUGGGUUGUAAACUGCUUUUAUGCGGGGAUAAAGGAGCCCACGUGUGGGCUUUUGCAGGUACCGCAUGAAUAAGGACCGGCUAAUUCCGUGCCAGCAGCCGCGGUAAAUACGGAAGGUCCGGGCGUUAUCCGGAUUUAUUGGGUUUAAAGGGAGCGUAGGCCGCCCCUUAAGCGUGUUGUGAAAUGCGGGUGCUCAACAUCCGACUUGCAGCGCGAACUGGGGGGCUUGAGUGCGCCGAAAGUAGGCGGAAUUCGUGGUGUAGCGGUGAAAUGCUUAGAUAUCACGAAGAACUCCGAUUGCGAAGGCAGCUUACUGUAGCGCAACUGACGCUGAUGCUCGAAAGCGUGGGUAUCGAACAGGAUUAGAUACCCUGGUAGUCCACGCGGUAAACGAUGGAUGCUCGUUGUCGGCCCUUGCGGUCGGUGACCAAGCGAAAGCGUUAAGCAUCCCACCUGGGGAGUACGCCGGCAACGGUGAAACUCAAAGGAAUUGACGGGGGCCCGCACAAGCGGAGGAACAUGUGGUUUAAUUCGAUGAUACGCGAGGAACCUUACCCGGG
rnacentral:rRNA from 1 species